AUGAGACAGUCCUUAUGGUUUUGGGGCUACACUGUUGCAGGGGUGCCUACUCCAACCCAGCUUUUGGCUGCUAACAUGACUGAUGAUCAUAGAUGGCAAUUGCCGACGUCUUCUCAUGUAAUAGAUAACAUAACAUUACAACAUUACACGAGGAACAACAAUUGUCUCUUUUCGACUUCAAACUACUCGUACCUUCAUAACUCUACUUUCGUUUUUCGUAAACUGGUUGUUGCUCGCUAUCUUGGAAAAAGGGGAACAAAAAAAUAA